UCCUCCAGGGAACAUCCAGGUUCCUGGAGUGCCUUUUAUUCCAGUUAUUAGUAUCUUUAUCAAUACCUACCUGAUGGUUCAACUUGGAGAAGAGACAUGGAUUAGCUAUUCCGUUUGGAUGGCAUUUGGCCUGGCUAUAUACUUUCUCUACGGGAUUCAUCACAGCAACCAAAGACAAAGAAUGCAAGAAAUGCACACAGUCCUCAAUACUGUUUAUGUAAAUAACAAUGUUGUUAGUGUUUCUGCUUGAUGGCUAUAAAAUCAUCUGUCCAAAGAGUUUAAGAUGACCAAGGAAUCACCUUGAAAUCAUUUGUUUUAUUCUGACUCUAGCGAGAAUUACCCUAACCUGGUUUUAGUCUGUCCCAUCUGAUGCAUGUUGAAUGCUAAUAGUGGUUUACAAACCUAUUUUAUACCAGCAUUGCAAAACUGCAAUUAUAAUUUUUUUAUCCUUUACGGCUUGAUCAGUCAUUCAAGGUUGUGCAACAUUGGAUAUGCUUAGUAGAGCAUGACAGUGACAAACUUGAACAAAAAUCCUUGUAAAUGUAAUUUAUAUAAAAUAAAUUUG